CCUUCGAUAGCUCAGUUGGUAGAGCGGUGGACUGUAGUUGUACAAUUGUUUAAACAAAUGGACAUCCAUAGGUCGCUGGUUCAAAUCCGGCUCGAAGGA
rnacentral:tRNA from 1 species